rnacentral:tRNA from 1 species
GCCUUCGUGGUGUAACUGGAAGCACACUCGAUGCGUAUUCAAAAUAUCCAGGGUUCGAGUCCCGGCGAGGGUA